rnacentral:rRNA from 1 species
GGACCGAACGAGAGCUUGCUCUUGUUUGGUCAGCGGCGGACGGGUGAGUAACACGUGGGCAACCUGCCCGCAAGACCGGGAUAACUCCGGGAAACCGGAGCUAAUACCGGAUAACACCAAAGACCGCAUGGUCUUUGGUUGAAAGGCGGCUUCGGCUGUCACUUGCGGAUGGGCCCGCGGCGCAUUAGCUAGUUGGUGAGGUAACGGCUCACCAAGGCGACGAUGCGUAGCCGGCCUGAGAGGGUGACCGGCCACACUGGGACUGAGACACGGCCCAGACUCCUACGGGAGGCAGCAGUAGGGAAUCUUCCGCAAUGGACGAAAGUCUGACGGAGCGACGCCGCGUGAGCGAAGAAGGCCUUCGGGUCGUAAAGCUCUGUUGUGAGGGACGAAGGAGCGCCGUUUGAAUAAGGCGGCGCGGUGACGGUACCUCACGAGAAAGCCCCGGCUAACUACGUGCCAGCAGCCGCGGUAAUACGUAGGGGGCGAGCGUUGUCCGGAAUUAUUGGGCGUAAAGCGCGCGCAGGCGGUCCUUUAAGUCUGAUGUGAAAGCCCACGGCUCAACCGUGGAGGGUCAUUGGAAACUGGGGGACUUGAGUGCAGGAGAGGAGAGCGGAAUUCCACGUGUACCGGUGAAAUGCGUAAAGAUGUG